CGACCGGCGCACGGGUGAGUAACACGUAUCCAACCUGCCGAUGACUCGGGGAUAGCCUUUCGAAAGAAAGAUUAAUACCCGAUGGCAUAGUUCUUCCGCAUGGUAGAACUAUUAAAGAAUUUCGGUCAUCGAUGGAGAUGCGUUCCAUUAGCUUGUUGGCGGGGUAACGGCCCACAAGGCAUCGAUGGAUAGGGGUUCUGAGAGGAAGGUCCCCCACAUUGGAACUGAGACACGGUCCAAACUCCUACGGGAGGCAGCAG
rnacentral:rRNA from 1 species